rnacentral:rRNA from 1 species
AUUGAACGCUGGCGGCAGGCCUAACACAUGCAAGUCGAACGGUAACAGGAAACAGCUUGCUGUUUCGCUGACGAGUGGCGGACGGGUGAGUAAUGUCUGGGAAACUGCCUGAUGGAGGGGGAUAACUACUGGAAACGGUAGCUAAUACCGCAUAACGUCGCAAGACCAAAGAGGGGGACCUUCGGGCCUCUUGCCAUCGGAUGUGCCCAGAUGGGAUUAGCUAGUAGGUGGGGUAACGGCUCACCUAGGCGACGAUCCCUAGCUGGUCUGAGAGGAUGACCAGCCACACUGGAACUGAGACACGGUCCAGACUCCUACGGGAGGCAGCAGUGGGAAUAUUGCACAAUGGGCGCAAGCCUGAUGCAGCCAUGCCGCGUGUAUGAAGAAGGCCUUCGGGUUGUAAAGUACUUUCAGCGGGAGGAAGGGAGUAAAGUUAAUACCUUUGCUCAUUGACGUUACCGCAGAAGAAGCACCGGCUAACUCCGUGCC